rnacentral:lncRNA from 1 species
AAAUCUCUGUUGGUGGCUCAUGUCCUCAUCUCAGAUCGGGGUGAUGUUGUGAUCAGACAGAAACCCGACUUCCCAUAGCUGCUCAGUAUGGUAUGGUACCUCUGAUUUAUCUUUCUCAACUUCUAAUUUAGAGCAUGGUCUUCUCUGUACUAAUUAGAUGUUGCAUUCCUACAAGGCCGAGUCAGGGGCUCAAGCCAGGCGUGAUAACAGGCAAACAUGGAUUAGAAAGUUGUCCCACAACUCCCCUUUUCUAUUUCUUAGUUCAAUAUGCAUGUCUUUUUUUUCUAUGGGUUGAUAACUCCAGCUGUCCCAAAUUUGAUGAUGCGUUUCUUUCCCAUGUUUCUUCUACAGGUUCUGAGAUAGUUAAUCAUGGAUUGGAAAACUCUAAUGUGUGACAUUGUAGUUCUCAUGAUGUAGAUUAUUUAGAUUUUCAAGCUAUUGGCAUUGAUACUUUUUCUCCUAAUACACCAUACCAAGGGUGAGUAGUUCACGAGUAAUGGUGACAGGAUUUUUUUAAUGCAGAGACCUUUGGAAAUUGGAAAUGUCCAAUUAUGUAUAAUCGAUGUUAUUGUUACCUACUUACCAUUUAGUUGGUUGCUGAAUUCAUCUCAGUGUUCAUAUAAUCUUUGGAUAAUUGUUAGUAGUAAAUACAUGCUGAUGGUUGCUCAUAGUGAACACGCACAUCUGAUUGAUCAAAGAUGAUCGGUGUAUUAAUGUACUCGUACUAAGUUAUCUAUAAGACACGCAUGAGCAUAUGUCUUUACUCCCACCGAUCUUUUCUUGGACACUUGGUAAUUUUUCUGUGGAUCCUUUUCAGUACAAUGCAUAGCAUGUAUAUUUUUAAACUUAAAAUCUCGAAUUUAUGACUAAAUAGUAUUAUGUUUUUUUCUGUAGGUUGAGAAGUUCAGUACUAGAUGAUUAAUUGGAUCUUUGUCCUUGGAGACUAUAUGCUGAUGCUUGGUACUUGCAAGAGAAUGGAGGAAGUUCUAUGAAUGUUUAGAAUUUUAUAUCAUGUAAAAUGUUUUAUCUCCUAAGCAAGUGAUGUACUCCUAAUUGAUGGUACUUGCAUUGCAAUGUAAAUAUUGUACAAUUGAAUCAAUAUACCAGUUUCAUUUCAACUCCAUCAAUUU